CCCCACAGAUUGAUGAGAUUUUGUCUGAUGCAAAAAAUGAAAUCAGACAAAGAUUUGGAGAAAAACUUUACCAGAAGAAAGGACGCCAAGGAAGUGACUUUAAAAAAAAGUUACCACCGGAUGGUUUUCGAGCAAUUGUGAGAUGGGGACAUAAUGGGAUUCCAACCGGACAGUGGGCUAAUAACUUCAGCUCAUACCUUGGAUGUUUGAUACGGAGGAGUGAUAAUGUGAAUCCCUAUUACGAGGCUUGGGAGCAGCCAUUUCAUGUCCUGGAGAGUAUAUAUCGAGAUUGUUGGAGAUAUUUCAACAUCGAAGACAAUCCCGUAGGGUGGGAAUUUUUAUUUGGAUACCAGGGAAAGUUCAAGCAUUCUCUUCGGGAGUGGAGACAUGAGAUAAAGAAGAAAUGCUUUGAUUGUUUCACUCACAACUGGGAGAGGAUAUACAAGCGAGAUAAGAGGGUUGAG